rnacentral:sRNA from 2 species
UGAGUAAGUCAGCUUAAUCUAGCAAAUAUCAUUACCAUUACAGUUUAGGUGUGAGAUGCUAGAGCGGAGGAACCAUAAUUUGGGGCGUAUUUUAUAGAAAGUUAAAAGUGAGGAGUUUUGAACUCAUAACUCCCGUACAGACCUAAGGCGUGGAACGUCUCUUCAUAACUUUCUUAAGAAGGGUAUUUCUCAACCCUAGCCCGUCAGCUAACUUCGUAGGCAUUGAGAAGAGACUGA